rnacentral:tRNA from 1 species
GGCUCUGGGGCUCAAUUGGUAGAGUGUUUGCCUCUUGUGCACAAGGCUCUGGGUUCAAUCCACAGCACCACCA